AACGAACGCUGGCGGCAGGCCUCAUACAUGCAAGUCGAGCGAUUAAGACUCCUUCGGGAGUGUAUAAAGCGGCGAACGGGUGAGUAACAGGUGGAUGAUCUGCCUCCCGGUGGGGGAUAACGGCUGGAAACGGCCGCUAAUACCGCAUUCGAUUGUUACAUUGCGGUGUAACAAAGAAAGGCGCUUCACGGCGUCGCCGGGAGAUGAGUCCGCCCCCCAUUAGCUAGUUGGCGGGAUAAUAGCCCACCAAGGCUUCGAUGGGUAGCCGAGCUGAGAGGUUGAUCGGCCACACUGGAACUGAGACACGGUCCAGACACCUACGGGUGGCAGCAGUAGGGAAUAUUGGACAAUGGACGAAAGUCUGAUCCAGCCAUGCCGCGUGAGCGAAGACGGCCCUUGGGUUGUAAAGCUCUUUUCUGAGGGAAGAA
rnacentral:rRNA from 1 species